AAUCAACGCUGGCGGCGUGCCUAACACAUGCAAGUCGCACGAGAAAGGGGAGCAAUCCCUCGAGUAAAGUGGCGCACGGGUGAGUAACACGUGAAUCAUCUACCUCCGAGUGGGGAAGUAACUGAGAGAAAUACUUAGCUAAUACCGCAUAACACUUACGAGUCAAAGACAGCAAUGCGCUUGGAGAGGAGUUCGCGGCCGAUUAGUUAGUUGGCGGGGUAAGU
rnacentral:rRNA from 1 species